AAACGGCUGCAGCUAAAACUACAUGAAAGUAGCGCGAUAAAUUGUCUUUUAAUUGGAGGAUAGUACAAAAGGUCAGAUGAUGGAAAAACUUUAUUAGAAACAUAAUAUGAAGUUUACCUGUAAGUGAAAAGGCUUACGUUUAUUUGUUAGACGAGAAGACCCUGUUGAGCUUGGUAUACUUUUUUCUAUUAGUCAAGAGUUAGAUUUUGUCGGGGCCGACAGGAAGAGAAAAAAUAUCUUCUUAAUUAGAUUGAGAUCCAACAUGGUUGAUAAUAAAAAUAAGCUACCACAGGGAUAACAGCGCAAUUUUUUUGUAAAGUUCAUAUUUAAAGAGAAGUUUGCGACCUCGAUGUUGAAUCAAGGUAUCUACUAGGUGCAGAAGCUUAGAGAAGUGG
rnacentral:rRNA from 1 species